GUCCUCCCUUUAUCUGCCCUGCUCUGUAGCCAGACUGUGCAGUGCCCAGCUCUGUGCACUGAGGGAAGAAUAUUCUGGAGGGUAGGAUGGGAUUAGAGCUUCAAGGCUAUGAGAUGCACCUUGGAACACAGCUCGAGAAAUCUGAACUAGAUAGUGUUACCUGGGUCUGCAGUCAGAGCUCAGAUCUUGCACUGGCAGCAGAUGGGGACACAGCAGCUGGACUGGGAGCAGCAGGGCUUGCAGCAGCUGGACUGGCAGCAGCUGUUCUGACAGCAGCUGGACUGGCAGCAACAGGGCUUGCAGCAGCUGGACUGGGAGCAACAGGGCUUGCAGCAGCUGGACUGGCAGCAGCUGUUCUGACAGCAGCUGGACUGGCAGCAACAGGGCUUGCAGCAGCUGGACUGGGAGCAACAGGGCUUGCAGCAGCUGGACUGGGAGCAACAGGGCUUGCAGCAGCUGGACUGGCAGCAACAGGGCUUGCAGCAGCUGGACUGGGAGCAGCUGGACUGGCAGCAGCAGGGCUUGCAGCAGCUGGACUGGCAGCAGCUGGACUGGCAGCAGCAGGGCUUGCAACAGCUAGACUGGCAGCAGGAUGACCCACAGCCCCCCUUGGAGCCCCCACAGGACCCACAGCCCCCUUUGCCAGAGCUGGAGCAGGAACAGGCUGGCACACAGCAGCACACGGGCUUGCAGCAGCAGACAGGGACACAGCAGCUGGAGCCACAGCCCCCACAGCCAGAGCUGCAGCCCCCAGAACAGCCAGAGCCGCAGCCCCCACAGCUGGAUCCGCAGCCCCCACAGCUGGAGCCACAGCCCCCGGAACAGCCAGAGCAGCCCAUGGUUCUGGAAGCUCUGGUGUGUUUACCGCUCUGCAUUCUUCCGUGAGACAGCGAGUCAGGUGUGGCCACAAGAGAGACGCAGCAAAGUUAAUCUUACUCCCAGGUUCUGGACACAGGAGGUAGGACAUACCGUGCCCUGGGGGACAGCAGGUGCUCAGCAGACGGGCAGGGCCACACAGCAGCGGGGGCAAGCAGCUUCGACAGGCUCCUUGGAGUCGUUCUGGAUGGCGCUAACCACGGGGUGCCUGGCACCUGGCCCUGGGGGACAGGGGAGGGUUGAGGUGGGGCCCGGGGGUCCCGGCGCUGGGCUGGUCUGCACAGGGAAGGUGGGUUCCGGCCACCCCAGAACCAGGCAGUCCAGGGAGGGGCGCGGCCUCUCCAGCCAGAAAGGGUUUUGAGAUGCGGAAACACACCACACAGAGAAAAGCGCGGGGUGUGUGUAUGUUAGUAUAAUGCAUUUACCCUCCCACCCAGCCUCGGUGACAUUACUCCCCGUGGUGUUCCCGCUCUCUGGUGCGACUGUGCCCAUCCGCAGGCUCUCUCCUGGGCCCCAACGGGACCUGGGGACCUGCAGCCCCUCCCUCCCCGCCAAAGUGUCCUUGUGGUCCCCCGUGGGCUGGGCUGGAGGGACCAGCUCCUCUGUCAUCUGCCUGAGCCCAUUCCCUCGGCCACCCUGGCCCCUCUGCACGUGGGCUGGGGAAGCCCUCUGUUCACAGGGUCCAGACGAGGCAGUGACCCGGAGUGUUUGGGGGAAGCUGCUGCAGUCCCCCUCGGGGGCAACGAAGCUGUGGGAAGGGUGGAGAGACGAGGGGCCCGGCUGGGGCGGGGGUCCCUGGGAAGUGUGUGGCCUCAGCCUCUCACCUCCCCUCCCGCUCCUCUCCCGGCUGUGGCCGGGCUGGGUGGUGUGGAGGGUAGGGGCGUCCCAGCUCGAUCGCCCACACCUGGACUCUGGGUCCCUGCUGCCGGGGAGUGGCCUUGGGCAUGUUCCUCACCACGCUGCCUGGGCCUCACAUGUGUUCCCUCCCUGAGGGUGGGGGACGCUCUGAGAGCCCCCAGUGCCAGGCAGCGAGCCCAGGACAGGGAGGUCAGUGGACACACGUGUGGCCAGCCCUGUCCCCACGGACACCAACCAGGUCAGCCAGCUGCCAUCGGGAUACACUGCAGGCCUGCUUGGGCAGCCCUCAGGUGAGCGAGUCAGGACAGCCCUCCUCCCCCCGCCCCCGAGGACAGAGCACCUGGUGGAGCCUCAGGGGUGAACUGGGGGGGGCACCCAGACCGAGAGCAGGUGAGGGAAGCUGCCAGCAGAGGGAGGAUGGGCGCUGCCCUGGGGGCUGAGCACUAACAGAGCCCAGCCUUGGGGACCAGAGACCCUUGCGGCCCCAGGCGCCGGCUGCAGCUGGGGGCACCAUGGUGGGGGGGGUGAUGCAGAGAAGGACACAGUGGCAGCAGCAGGGCGGCGGGAGUCCUGUAGCUCAGAUGGGCUGGGCGCUGGUCCCUGGGCACAGCGGCCUGGGUCUCAGCCUUGGGAACAGGACAGCAGAGAGGGAUCCGGGAAAAGGGCCUCAAUCACGUCCACCUACAAGCCCUGCCACGGGGAGGCGGCUCCAACACAAAGCCCCUUACCUGAGGGACCCGUGGGCACCGCAGCCCUGCCCGCGGGCCGGCUGGCACCGUCAGCAGUGACAGGCCCUGCAGGCCCUGGGCUUGGCCGCUGCUUCCUGCCGGCGGGGAUUCCUCCCGUGCGUGUUGGGCACAUCCUGUGCAAGUCCGAGCAGCCCCCCACACGUGCGUGGAAACCCCGUCACCUCCUGGGACAUGCCAACGUCAGAGCGUCAGCGGACAGAAAUCCAGCCCCGCGACCCCGGCCGUGCAAGGCCAAGGAAAGGUUGCUGGGGUGCCAGCCAGCCCAGGGCACCCCCGGGACGGCGUGGCGGUGCCGGCGGUCAGACUCUGCCUGCCAGGGGCUCUCCCCACCGCCCUGCCCUGAGGUAUGAGACCGUUAGCGUGGCACCACAGUCGCCCUUCCUGUCUGUCUCUCCCCGUCUCUGUGUCUCUCUGUCUCUGUCUCCCCCCACCCCCGCCCAGUGUGGCCUCUGCUGUAUUGCUGUUUGCGUUUCACUGGUGUGUUUCGCGGUUCGUGGCCUGUCCACGCGUCGGGGUGUGGCUUGUGGUCUGACUGAUGCCACGCUGGGUCUGUCCCAGACGUCUCUGUCCUGCUCCCUCGUUGUCUCAGGCCCCCACUCAGAUGUCCCUGUGUUGGACCUUCCCUGCGUGUGUCCUCGGAAUCAGACGUUUCUGCCCUUGGAACACCCAGACGGGCGGUCGGCCCACGCGGCCUUGCCGUCUGUGGGUCAGAACAGCCGCCGAGCGGCGGCCGAGGCUCCAGCCUGGCGCUCGCGCCUGCGGGGCCCCAGGUUUCUUCCCCUCCCCGCACGGCCCUGCGAGGAUGUUUAUUUGCUUGUUUCCUGGGUCCCAACAAGGACGCAAAACCCAGGCCACGGGCUCUACUGGGGUGCACAAGUGUCAGGGGGCUGGGGGUGGCCACAGGGCCCUUGUCUGGCCUGAGGGCGCUCCGGGGGGAGCCACCCGCCUGAAGCCAUCUCAGCCGGUGGUGCGGGCUCUCCGAGGUUGGGAAAGAAAGAGCAGAGCCAGGCAGUUGUCCUGUGGUCACCAUGAGCCCAAGAACCUUCCCUGCGGGACAGAAGGGGGUUUGUGAGCCACAUGCCAGGUGCCGGGGCUGGACUGUGCCCCUCCCAAAUACGUACUGAUGUCCUCAGCCCUGCACAGGGGACUGUGACCUCAUAUGGAAAUGGGACUUGGUGGAUAUAACUAACACGAAGCCCUUAGGGUGGCCCCAAAUCCAACAGGAUUGGUGCCUUGUGGGACGAAGGGACAGACACAGGCAGGGGAGCAGGUGCCGCGGGGACAGAGGCAGAGGUUGGAGCGAUGCGGCCACAAGCCAAGGGAAGCCUGGGCCCCGGAGGCUGAGGGCGGGGAGGACGCUCCCCUAAAGCCUCCAGAGGGGACGUGGCUCUGCUCACAACUUGGUGUCCGACUUCUGGCCUCCAGAGCCGUGAGGAGAAAUUUCUAUUGUUUUAAGCCACAGGCUUUGUGGUGGCUCAUUACAGCAGCCACAGGAAACUCACCCCCGGUGCUGCACGAGUCCUGGAUGUUUCCCGGAGCUGCCCAGUGAGCCCCCGAGACACGGCCCCAGGGGACCGGCCCCACACGAGCGUCCAGGCUGCUGCCUGUUCUUGCCCCGUCAUUUCCUCCCCGACUGUGAUGGGACGGAAGAAAUGACCUGUGAGACAAAGCCACAGAUGUAGAAGCCUGCAGAAUUCACAAACCCCGGGCGCCGUGGUGACGUAACGCUCUCCGAAAAGGUGCUCUGAAGACAAACCUGGGUAGAGCUGAUGCCCCCGUCUCUCGCCCGAGUCACUGUGCUCCUUACAAGUCAUGGUGACCCUGAGGGACUCGGCACAGACUGCCCGGGACCGUCUGGAACAUGGCAGGGACCUGGCACCCGCCCACGUUUCAGCCCCUCCAGCCCCUCCAGCCGCAGAGGACCGGGGUUCCCUCCUGAGCAGUCUGGGACCUCCCGCAAGGUUGACGGGCCUGAGCUGUUUUCAGAUAGCUGGUCUCACUCCCGGACAAAGGGGCGAGUCCUUCCCGAGAAGGACCACCAGGAAGGAGUGGGCCUGGCUGGCAGGUGGGGCCGCUGCUUCCCCUCUCGAUUUACUCACGGAGGGAAAUAAACCACCCAGCACUGGCCCAACAGGGAGAAGGCAACCGCCCGCAGCAGCACUCAGCAGGCUUCAUGUAUGACAUGCCUGUGUGCCGUGCACGUUAUUUAAAGGCUGAUUCAGCAUGUGGACUUAGGAAGGAGACAUGAAGCCAGAAGGGAGCAGCGAGCGGAGAGAGGUGGAGAAAGUCACGGCCAUGGGGAUGUCAUUUGGUAAGAACGGUUAAAAAGGAAAGAGAAUAAUUUUGUGUGAGAAAGAACCGUGCACGGUAAAUGUCUGUCCUGCAGUAACGCGACCGGCUGGUUAAGAAGGAAGCCGCACGGGACAAAGCACGAGGCCGCCCGUCGGCGACGGUCUCCGCGGCGCGACCCUGUGCCCGGCUCGUCCUGGCGGGUCUCAGUCGCUCCGACACCGCGAGCCGAGCCGCGCUCUCGCCCUCGAGGACCCGCGUCCUUGUUGGGUCCCUUUAUAACACACCGCGCGCUCGCGACCCUGGGCUUGUUCUCCCUGCGCCUGAUCACUUCCGGCAGCGCCGUCGCCGUCGGGUUUCACUUCCGGGUUACCCAGCUGGGCCUCCCGUGAGCCGCCGGCGCGGCGCGGCAGGGCUCUUUGCCUCUGGGCAACUGGCCCAAAAAACAAAGAUGUUAUGUUUUAGGAAGGUAAUUCCUGUGUUGUCUUUAUUAGGUUUUUGAUUACUUAGGGAAACUGAGCUUCAAAAGGCUUGCGGUUGGACACCCACGCAACUUUCAGUGCGGCCGCAAGAACGACCUUGUUUCACGGCGCUCCGUGACUUGGGAUCGAGUGCUUGUCCCCAGGAUCAGAAUUCUAAAUUCAGUCUUUUUAGGUUAAAUGACCAUAGUUACUUGAUAAAAUUGUAUAGGAAGCACUGUCAAAUGGAGAAGGAUAGUAUAUACUCCUUCAGUUACAGUUAACUGGUGUGUGAUUGAUAUAAAUGUUCAAAAAAUAUAUAAAUUCAUCAAAGUGUGUUGCCAUAAUUUUGAUUAUUAUGUUAAAUCUUUUC